rnacentral:lncRNA from 1 species
CCAUCAUAUGUUUUUAGUUAUGAAAGCCACCACUCUAGGUAACAAUGAUAAUAGUCAUUCGUAACACAGUGUUGCUGCGUGCCAGGCACAAUUCUAAGCAUUUUGACUAAAUUAAUUUUUGCAAUAGUCCUCUGAGUUUGAUAUUAUUAUAGUCUCCAUCUCCUCAUGAGGAACCUGAGGCUCAGAGAGGUUGAGAAACCUGUACAGUAGAGAGUUUUCAGUUUCUUCUCUAAAUUGUGGGCCAGCAUCCCUUCCUUCCUGAACUGCUCUCCU